AUGGGGGGACCACCCUCCAACCCUAAAUACUACCCAGUGACCGAUAGCGUAUAGUACUGUGAAGGAAAGGUGAAAAGGACCCCGGGAGGGGAGUGAAAUAGAACCUGAAACCUUGUGCCUACAAGCACAUAGAGCACAUCAACGUGUGAUAUGGUACUUUUUGUAGAACGGUCCGGCGAGCGAUUGUAUGUUGCGAGCUUAAGGUCUUAAGGACUGGAGGCGUAGCGAGAGCGAGUCUGAACAGGGCGUUCAGUAACAUGCAAUGGGCCCGAAACCGGGUGACCUACCCAUGAUCAGGCUGAAGUGAAAGUAAAAUUUCAUGGAGGGCCGAACCGACCUCCGUUGAAAAGGCGGCGGAUGAAUUGUGGGUAGCGGAGAAAUUCCAAUCGAACUCGGAGAUAGCUGGUUCUCCCCGAAAUAGCUUUAGGGCUAGCCUCAUAUUAGAUACCCGGAGGUAAAGCACUGAAUGGCCUAGCGCCCGAGAGGGUAGCGAAGCCUAUCAAACUAAGAAUGCCGGAGUAUUGAUGUAUGGGAGUCAGACAGUGUGAGAUAAAUCUCAUUGUCAAAAGGGAAACAGCCCAGAUCUACAGCUAAGGUCCCAAAUUGUAUCUAAGUGGAAAACGAUGUGGAAAUACGCAGACAACCAGGAUGUUGGCUCAGAAGCAGCCACUCAUUUAAAGAGUGCGUAAUAGCUCACUGGUCGAGCGUCUCUGCGCGGAAAAUUUAACGGGGCUAAGAUACAAACCGAAGCUUAGGCUGCAACGUAAGUUGCGGGGUAGGGGAGCGUUGUGUAAGCGGAGAAACAGUAGCGUAAGCGGCUGUGGAGUUUACAGAAGUGAGAAUGCCGGAAUGAGUAGCGCGAAUGUGGUGAGAAUCCACAUGGCCGGAAACCUCAGGUUUUUGGAGGAAGGUUCGUCCGCUCCAAGUUAGGCGGGAGCUAAGGUCAGGCCGAAAGGCGUAGCCGAUGCACAGACGGUAGAGAUUCCGUCCCCACCGAAAGAUUUAAGCACAGGGACACUUUUUGAAGGUCGGAGCCAGGUGUUGGUUCUGGUAGUGAUCGAGGGAAAUAUAGUACCGAAGUCCGGCUGGAAGAGAGGCGAGAAAAGCUGUGUGUAUAUCUAAGGUGCCCGUACCGCAAACCGACACAGGUAGGUAGGAAGAAGAUUCUAAGGCCAACGGGAGAAGGGUUGUUAAGGAACUCGGCAAAUUGACCCCGUAACUUCGGGAGAAGGGGUGCUCCAGAGAUGGAGCCGCAGAGAAUCGGCCCAAGCAACUGUUUACCAAAAACACAGGUUUGUGCUAAAUCGAAAGAUGACGUAUACGAGCUGACGCCUGCCCGGUGCUGGAAGGUUAAGAGGAGAUGUGCAAGCAUUGAAUCGAAGCCCCAGUGAACGGCGGCCGUAACUAUAACGGUCCUAAGGUAGCGAAAUUCCUUGUCAGGUAAGUUCUGACCCGCAUGAAAGGCGUAAUGAUUUGGGCACUGUCUCAACAGCCCGCCCGGCGAAAUUGUAGUACCGGUGAAGAUGCCGGUUACC
rnacentral:rRNA from 1 species